UUCUAAUUGACCUGCCACCGUGGGAAUAAAGUUGGGUAUAACCCUUUCACUCCAAGAACGUUUCACUGUCGUUUCUUUGGUCUCGUUGAAUCCACAGGGAUCUUGUCCAGGGCUGAAACCCAUUGGCAAGACCGGGAGGAAGUUGAAGGCCAAGCAGGAGACUUGAUCCUCAGAUGAGCUUUUUGGCAGUCAAACCCACUUUCUGCAACAUGUUGCUAAGCAGGAAAGUGGUCUCAGCUGUGGACUAGCUUCACACUGCUCCCAUGUGAGCUUUGGAACAUGAACUGCAGCCGUAUGAGGUACAGAGGGAGGAAAUGGCUCUGGGGACGCCCUCACCUCCAGAGCUCCGCUGAGGGCCUCAGCGUCAGCGUUGACUCGUUCAUGAGGUCUCCCAGGACCUCCUUCCUCUCUCCAAAGGGGGAGUGUCCAGUGAAGAUCCCUGUAUGAGCUUAGGAGGGCGAGAUGAGUAAGACGGGGUGGUGGGGAUCCUCCGAGGGGCCCUGGCAGCCUGCACGGGCAGCGGUACACCUGUGCGCGACCUGCAGGCGGUUCAUUCUGGAUGCCUUUUCUCUUGCCUUCUUCCCAUCCAGCCAGGUGCUGUUCCUGACAAUUCCAUCCCCUUAAUUUUCCCACCUGGGCUGCCAUCGCUGUGUGGACAGAACACAAGCAGGGACUUUGGGAUCACCAAAAUCCCAACUCAGCUCUCCAGUGAGCUUGAGAAUGUCAGUGUUGAAGAGAUUUUUGUCUACAGAAAAGGUUCCUUGCAAGAGCUUGUUAUUUAAUUAGCGUUCAAUGUAUUACAGUAGCUUUAAAAGGAAAAACCUAGUCAUUCUUAAGCCUUUAAGUUAAAUUUACAAACCAUUAUUCUAUUUCUAUACAGGUACUUUCAAGGGGCUUUUGAUUAAUGGUCAGUCCACUAAAACUCAGUUCAACGAUCCAGCCAUUUGCAAACUCGGUUAAUUAAAUUAUCUUCAACAUUUUACACAGGACUUACUAAUUUAACACAUCCAGUUUCCCUUUUUAAACACUUCCACUGCCUGACCUGACAAGCAAACUUUCCAAAGUACUUAAGCCAAUUUGGAAAAUCUAAUUUAAAGACUUAUACAUACAGUGAAUUUCAAGCUCUCUUAUCAGUCUGGUAUCAUUUAUAAAGUAAGUAUAAGAAGGUUUGUAUGCAUCUCAACAAAAAAUCCAAAGCCUAAAAUCAAUUAUACAUUUAAAAUUGGAAUCACAAGGCUAAUGUGUUCAUACUCUAAUAUGCCAAAAAAAGGCUCUUCAAUGUUAUGAAUACUUUAAAUAUCAAAUACACAAUGAUAUGCAUUUGACUCCUAAAACCUUUGCAGGGUUAUAGGCAUUUGCCUAGUAGAGAGACAGUUCUCCAUCCUAAGUGGAUUGGGGUGACUUCCUUCAGUGCAUUAUGCCAUCUUAGGGGUAAGAGUUUCAUAUUGUGGCAGAAACUGCUGGGUCCCAAUGUGCAUGCUCUGCUUCCUCCUUAGAAAUAGAACCUCAGAUUCUCAAUGAGCAUUUGGUCACUCGGAAUAAAGACACUAUCUCCCAGCCUCCCUUGCAGUUAAAAGUGGCCAUGUGACUAAGAACUGGCCAGCCAGAUAUAAGCAGAAAUACAUGUGGCAAUUUCAGAAACCUUUCUGAAAAGAGCUGGUGUGUGUGUCCUUUCCCCCUUUCUUGUCCAUGCCUCCGUCUUGCCACCCAAUGAUUGUGAUGGUUGGCAUCUAGCUACUUUCUUGAACCUGGAGGAUCAGGGCCCUACUCUUGGAGUGGUGGAGUGGUGAGCUGGAAGGAUCCUAGGAUUCGGAUGACUCCAUGGAGCAGAACAUUCAUUUCAGCCACUGAUAGAUUGUUUGGAAUGAUCUCUCCCAUCCCAAAGCCCCUUGGCAAUGUGACUUUGCCCUCUUCCUAUCAAGAGCUGAAGUCUGUUUCCCUCCCCUGAAUCUGGACUGUUCUUGUGACUUGUUCUGGUCAGCCAUGUUGGACAGAAUUGGCAUUGGGAGACUUCUGAGGCUAGGCUAUUAGGGGCCAUGCGGUUAUACAUUUGCCCUCUUGGCGUGCUGACCCCAGACCCCAGGUGGGGGAACCAGUCCCAGGAUGAGGGUCCCAGCCAGGGGCACCAGCCGCCAGGCACAGAGUGAGGCAACCUCCCAGCCGACCGCAGCUGCUGGGGGAGCCCACGAGCAGAUCAAAGGGAGGGCGCUCCAGCACCACAUAGAAUAGAAGACAUAAACUGUCAUCGUUUUCAGCCACUGUUUCAGGGCAGUUUGUUUAUGCAACAAAAGCUAAAUGGAGCACAGCCUUAGGCUGCCCACCUCUGGCUUCUUCAUGAGGAAGAAACUGAUCUUUUUAAAGCCAUCAAUGUUGCGGGGCUUGGAUGAACUGAAUCCUGACAUACUGUGGACCAGAGAUUCUUGCUGGGACAUGAUACUCAGCAUCCAGGGCUGUUCCUCCAGCUGCUGAUAGACAUGCUGAGCUCUUUUAACUGGUUGCCAUGACAAUAAGGGACUCCAUUUCCUCUAAAGAGAUUGGUCUCAUGGGCAAUUAGAUUCUGGCCAUACCCAUUACCUAAUUCUCCUGUCUGAUCUAAAACUACCACCUCCCCCUCUUGCUCCCUGCCCACCCUCUGCCCAGGAGGUCAAACCAGCUUUCUUCACUAGUCUCCUUACAGCCUAAUUGAAUUCUAAAAGCUGUUUCUUACCCUUGCUGCCUGCUAGGCUGCAACUCACAUAGAUAUUCAGAGGCUUCCUUUUGGAUUCUGCAUCUCUCUUUUUCCAUGCUCUGUGCUACAACAUCCCAGAAGGUGAGGUAGACAGAGACUGUGAGCCUUCUUGUGCACUGCGCUUUAGUUUCCUGAUCUGCAAGUUGUGACUGUGUUCUGAGCUCAUGCGGACGCUGGGAGAUCCCAGAGAUGCUCACAAAUAUCUUGCAGGUCUCCGCCUCUUCGCUCCCUGCUUGGAGCCCAAAUGACUUCCCUGGGCACUGGCCAUAAAAUCUGAUGCUAACUGUGGCCUGGGAGCCCGCAGAGCUCUCUGCUUCCUCUAUUCACACUGGCUUCAUGGUGUGUGCGGCACAAAGAGGGAACCCAAAUAAUGUACCAAUAUUGGCUCAUCAAUUAUAGCAAAUGCAUCAUGCUGAUGCAAGAUGACAAUAAUAGGGGACACUGUAUAUACUGUGGGGGUGGGGGCAGGGGUAUAUGGGAACUCUGUACUUCCAUUCAAUUUUUCAGUAGACCUAAACAACAAAGUCUAUUUUUUUUUUAAAGUUCUUAUAGAAUUUAACUUACAUCAAGUUAAAAUGGAGUUUGAUUUGUUUAUCACUGUCUCAUCCUCUAGACCGUGUACUCCAGGAGAACAAGAAGCGGGCCUGAAUCUCCGUGGUGAGUGAAGAGUGACUCAGUGAGUCUGUCGGCAGACAGCGCAGGGCGUGGUACAGAGCGGCUUCCAGUGCAUGGAAACAGGUUACCGGGAUGUUGGCAUCCCCUCACCAACGCCUGCUCUGUGAUUGCUGCACAGUGGCCUUUGUGACAUGGACAAAGAAUCAGUAUUCCACAAGGAAAAUUUUGUCCUUUCAGUAGGCAUGUGACUCACUCAGCUGACAUGUGGAGAAGCACAGGGAGAGGCACCGCCCUUGAGGACAGGCAGCAAUUUGUGUCAUCCACCUCUCACACGGUGUCACGUGCAUCAUAGACUUUAAAUCACCGAACCUUUGCUUCCAUCUACUGUUGCUUCUGGAUUCCCUCACCCAGUGCCCAGGGCAUAUGUUUGGCCAGAUGGCUUGGACUUCUGGCGGCCGACUCAGCUGCUCAAGAACAUGGUUGUGCUUAACCUCAUCAACUUGACUCAGCUUCAGUUCAUCCUGGGGUAGGAGCGUAAUACUGAUCAGUUUAAUUAGUUUAAUGAGGGCUGAGGGAACUGGUCCAGAUUUUGAGUUUGUUGCACAGAACAAAUUGGUUUGCCUCGUUCCCUCAAUCAUUUUAGCAUUCAGAGGGAGAACUGCUCUCAUUAACCACUUAGGAAAAGGGCUUUACCCCCUUCCUCUCCUUUGAGGACUUGGGCGCUGCCCAGGGUAACAUGGACUGGGGUCCAGGAACUUAGUUCUUCAAAAGGUGUGUUCCUAAACAAAAAGAACUCAGAGUACACCAAUUGAACAUUUAAUCUCCAGAAGACUGAACUCUCUUCUGUAGGAAUUUCUACUCCAAUAAUAGGCAGUGUUUUUGAGCAUUUUAUCUAAAGCAUGGUGUCCAAAGUGGGGUGCACAGGAGAUCCUUUGAGGUUUGGGAAUAAAUGUUGGGAUUCCUUUUUGUUUA